GGGCUUGACAUCCCACGAACCUGCCCGAAAGGGUCGGGUGCCCGCAAGGGAGCGUGGAGACAGGUGGUGCAUGGCUGUCGUCAGCUCGUGUCGUGAGAUGUUGGGUUAAGUCCCGCAACGAGCGCAACCCUCACCCCUUGUUGCCACCGGGUCAUGCCGAGCACUCUAGGGGAACUGCCAGCGUCAAGCUGGAGGAAGGCGGGGAUGACGUCAAGUCAUCAUGCCCCUUACGCCCUGGGCAACACACGUGCUACAAUGGCUGGUACAAAGGGACGCAAGACCGCGAGGUGGAGCUAAUCCCAAAAAACCAGUCUAAGUUCAGAUUGCAGUCUGCAACUCGACUGCAUGAAGGAGGAAUCGCUAGUAAUCGCGCAUCAGCACGGCGCGGUGAAUACGUUCCCGGGCCUUGUACACACCGCCCGUCACACCACGAAAGCCGGCUGUACUCGAAGUCGCUGAGA
rnacentral:rRNA from 1 species